UACGGAGGGUGCAAGCGUUGUCCGGAAUCACUGGGCGUAAAGGGCGCGUAGGCGGCUCAUGAAGGCUGUGGUGAAAGUCCGGGGCUCAACCUCGGAUCGGCCGUGGCGACUCGUGGGCUGGAGCACUGUAGAGGCGGGUGGAAUUCCGGGUGUAGCGGUGGAAUGCGUAGAGAUCCGGAAGAACACCAGUGGCGAAGGCGGCCCGCUGGGCAGUGGCUGACGCUGAGGCACGACAGCGUGGGGAGCAAACAGG
rnacentral:rRNA from 1 species